CCUGUUUUUCUAGAACCCUUCACACAGCCCAGUUAAAGCAGAGAGGUCUUUCCCCUGAACUGCAAGAUUAUGCUUUGCUGUAGCAAGUAGAACUCUAUCCUAAAAGCAGUGUUUAACUACGCAGACUCUGCCCAUGCCCUUUCUGCUCAAGGACAAUCCUGUUCAGUACCAGCACACGCAAUCAGGACCUUUUAUUUAAAGCGUUUCUGGCCUGUGUGACGCGAGACAUUUGAUGCAUCUAGCUUGGAAGAAUUUAUUGGCACUUGCAUUGGAAAUGAAAGUCUGGACUGGUUGCUGUGACAGGAGUGGCAUUUUUACUAGUUUAUUUAAUCUGACAAAAAAAGACCUUUUGCACCUCGAAAAUCCCCUCUGAUUUCACAGGCUGAUGUCUUGAACAUGAAACCAUUUCACCAUAGCAGCAUCACCGGGCAUGCCUCAAACCCAAUAGCUCCACAAAUUUCACUGUCCAUGCUUUCUCUUAAUCCUCAAACUACAACAUUAUUUUCCAUACCAUGUGCAAGAAUCCACACCUAAUUUUAUUUAAUUAAAUAUGUAGAGCAUACUAAUUUAAUGGUGGUGUUGUAGCAGUGGUCCUGGCAAUGAUCCAGUUCCUUUAUUGAAAUAAACUAUGCAGCCUUCGGCUUCGUGGUUUAUUCACUUGGGGACUGUGUUACUGCCUCAUAAAACAGCGCAAUAGUACUAUUAUCAUUUAAUUAUACAGGAAGCUUUCUCUGACUUUGGUGUCUGCCUUCCUACAUCAGCCACAGCAUACUUCUCUGAACCCUAGAAUGUGCAGGAAAUAUAAAUUGGUCUGUUCGAACACGCAUAAAUAUGUGUCAGAAAUCUAGUGUGUCAGUACUUGGAGAAUUAUUAAUAUAUUAUACUCAAAUAUGAUAAAUUACUGCCUUAGAACAAACCGAUAAAUAUAUUCCUAAUAGAAUUAAUUCUAGCAGGUAGUUCUGAGUCAUCACCUGUAAUUCCUUACUUAGAAAAUCCCAGCAACAGAAAUAGGCUGCUUAUCAGGGUAAUGAAUAUUCACUGAGAAAAAGAAAAAAAAGACAGAAAUGCUGAAAUUUAAACUACAUGAUUAUUAUCAGUAGUUGUCCAUAUCUGCAAUAGGUGUUUUUGGAGGUGAUUUCAAUAAUAAAAAUAUCUAAAUGUCACACAAAGCCACAACUUAUUCCAGGAGAUCAAGGUUCCUAGCGUUUUUUGGUUUUGAUCGCUAACUGACUUUUUCUGUGUUGAGACACUUGUUAAAGUGACAAAAUAUUGCUAAAAAAGAAGCAAAUACAAAAGCUAAAUCCAAAUGAUAUCAACAUUUCCUAAAUCCUGAUUAUUGUAGGUAACUUUAAACCACAAUUUCACAUAAAUUAAAAAAGUGUAAAGCAUAGUAUUACUUAUUUCAUUCCUUAUUUCUAUAAUAAUUGCAUUUAUUAAAUAUAAUCACUUAAGCUUUUUUAAAAAAUCUUCAUACUAUUUAAUUAAUGCCCAGAAUGAAGUUUGAGCUAGGUUUAUAGUAAAAUUAAAGGCUAUUUUUGAAGGCUAUUACAAUAUAAGGAUAUUAGAUAAUCCACGUCUCUGGAUUAACCGAAUUACUAGAAAUGCUGAACACUUAAUUUACCUUGGAAAAGGUUUGGAAAUAAGAACAUUUGAGGUAUGUAACUAAACAAAGAUUCAUACACUUAUGUUCAUAAGUUUUAGAUGAAGUGGCUUUUCUAAUUGUCUCAGUUUAAAGACCUUACUCAACCCACCGGUACUCUCAGGUCACUCCUUUUCCUCCCUGUUCACCAUUUAAAGCACUCAGCCCCAGACAGUCAUCUCCAAUCCACCAGAGCAGCCUGGCCAGCUGCCUACACCCAGCUCCAAGGCUCUCCUCGUCAUUGAAGUUCUUAAAAAUAAUGUAUACACGGUCACAUUAGAACAACUUUCUUGCUCAUUUUGGAGGUUUGAUGAUCAUCAAGAUACCAAAUAUGAAAGACCACAAGUAUGGGAGAAACGGAAAUAUUGUGCUGAUUCUGUAAUUGAAGACUUUGCAAUUCUUUUCAAUUUGACUCCCAGAAAUCUGAGCCAAUUCACAUGAGGUGGAGUCAUCACUGAUUAACUUCUGGUACACUUUGAGACUGAGCAGUAACUUACUCCUCUAGAAUUUAAUGUCACAGCAGACACAGAACAAAAGGCUUUAUAUUUCAAUUUUUGCCUCGUAGGUCUGUAAUGGUUUGAGAUGUGUAUUUUGUCCCUCUCUUGUACGAUAUUCUUUUCUGCAUUAAAAGCAGCAGAAAUAACAUGUGAUUGACUCAAUAGCACAGUAUUGCCUGUACUCCACCAGCUAAACCCACACUUGACUGUGAUGCUGAAAACUUUUCCCUUCCUUCCUAUAAAAAAAGUGCAUAGCUUGCCGUUAGAUACUAGAUUCUGAAGCCCUGAAAGCCGUUAUUUAGAUAAUAUGAAGAAGAUUUCAAAUUCUGGGAAGGCCUUUCAGGGUCUUUCUAUGAUUUCUGCUUUCUCCAAGGUCUCUGUAAUUAUUGCACAGAGAACCGUACAGUUCUCAGUUUUUCUUCCGUAGUCUCUCUAUGAGGACAUCGAAUCACUUGUUUUGUGUGCUACAGUUCUUCACUUAACUAUAUCAGAAUCUAGAAUCGAGUUGGUGUUAAUUUGUUUAUAUUAAAACAAAUAUCUAAUCGUAAAACUGGGUGGCUUAAAGACUAUUAUUUUUCAUGUGAAAAGGAGCAAGACUGAACUUCGUUGUCUUUUCUGGAAUUAAGUUAUAUGGCUAUACUUUAUAGGCUUUUAUAACUACUUAUUCAGAACCUAAAAACAUAAAAUAAAUUUUGAUUUGUUCUGCAGAAAGGGAGAAUAAAAUAUUAUAUAUUUCUUGAUUCCAGAUCAUGACCAAUAACUUUUAUUAUUAUUACAACAGUAAAUUAAAGUGAAUAAAGUGAAGUAGGUUAAGAAUACUGUAUCAUGUGAAUGUUAAUAGCAUGACAGUAGUAGCUCUCAAUAAUAGUUAGUUCAUACAUACCUUUGAAAGGUUUGAAUGAUUUUACUUGAUUCUUUUCUCAGACAAUGGAUCACGUGGGGGAAACCUCCAUUUUGUAUUUCAUUUUGUUUGGCUUUUAUAAGACACCUACACGUGAUGGUGAGGCAGAAUGGGACAUCUACUCCAGAUGUGACUGCUGUUUGGCAAAGAAGUAUUUAUUUGAACAUAUGGGCCUUUUCUAUUUGAUUUUAAAGUGUUUAUU